GAUGAACGCUGGCGGCGUGCCUAAUACAUGCAAGUCGAGCGAACAGACGAGGAGCUUGCUCCUCUGACGUUAGCGGCGGACGGGUGAGUAACACGUGUAUAACCUACCUAUAAGACUGGGAUAACUUCGGGAAACCGGAGCUAAUACCGGAUAAUAUAUUGAACCGCAUGGUUCAAUAGUGAAAGACGGUUUUGCUGUCACUUAUAGAUGGAUCCGCGCCGCAUUAGCUAGUUGGUAAGGUAACGGCUUACCAAGGCAACGAUGCGUAGCCGACCUGAGAGGGUGAUCGGCCACACUGGAACGGAGACACGGUCCAGACUCCUACGGGAGGCAGCAGUAGGGAAUCUUCCGCAAUGGGCGAAAGCCUGACGGAGCAACGCCGCGUGAGUGAUGAAGGUCUUCGGAUCGUAAAACUCUGUUAUUAGGGAAGAACAAAUGUGUAAGUAACUAUGCACGUCUUGACGGUACCUAAUCAGAAAGCCACGGCUAACUACGUG
rnacentral:rRNA from 1 species